CUGCCUUUCCACACCAGCACCCAGGAGGAGCAAAGCAGAACUAGCAAGAGGACUUGUGAUUUGGUAUGUUCUUCUUGUCUGGAAAGGAGCAAUGAAUUUCCAGUCCUAGAGAGCUGAACUCUACCACAUCACCUGGCUACAGUGUGAAAUCCCUUCAGGACAGUUUUGGAGAUGGUGAUGGCACACAUACUGGUUACCUCAAAGUACUUAAAAAUCUGCCAAACUGCUCCAGCAGCAUUUGAGUUGGACCUGUCAGCAAGGCUCUGCUAAGCCAGAACAUGCUACAGCCAUUGAACUUCAGAUGCAAAAGCCUCUGAUGGAAGAAGUGACCAGGAACAGCAGCCGAGAGCUCAAGAGCUAAUUGGAGCAGUCAUUUCUUGAUUCUCUGAACAGCAAGUUUGUUUAAAUGUAACAGUGGAGGCAGUCUGGGUGUUUCACAGUGUCAGUACUUUCUGCUUUUCUGGACCAACCAGUCUGGUGUCUUUCUGUAAAUCUAAAAGCAGCAGCUAAAUUUUGUAUAAUGGAUUUUUUUAAUCAUUUUUGCCUGCAAAGGAAAUGGUUUGUGAUUUUAAAAGAAUAUACAUUUGGCAUUUUUGUGGUGGGGAAAUGAGUAUUAUUUAUGUUAGCCUCUCAGUUGCUAUAAAACAAUGCCAACCAAGGGAUCUACACUGAUUUAAGAAAGAAAAUGUACAGAAUUGUCUGCAUCUGUUCUGCAUUCUGUCUCCCUUUGUCCACCAGUUUUUCUUUGAAGAGACAUUAUUGUGUGAGCAGCCAGCAUUUGGCCGCUCACACUUCUUUUCUGUGGCUACAGUUUAGACACUUCACCACAGUCUUUCAAUCCAUGAGGAGCAUUUUAAAGAAACAGAAUACAAGUGCUGUAACUGGAAUUCAGCUCCAAAAGCUUGAACUAACAUUCUGCUGACAAUGAGAACUGUGUUAUGAUGCAGAUUACACAAUUACUUUUUGAAUUUUACGAAAACCC